GACGAACGCUGGCGGCGUGCCUAAUACAUGCAAGUUGAGCGCUGAAGGUUGGUACUUGUACCAACUGGAUGAGCAGCGCACGGGUGAGUAACGCGUGGGGAAUCUGCCUUUGAGCGGGGGACAACAUUUGGAAACGAAUGCUAAUACCGCAUAAAAACUUUAAACACAAGUUUUAAGUUUGAAAGAUGCCAUUGCAUCACUCAAAGAUGAUCCCGCGUUGUAUUAGCUAGUUGGUGAGGUAAAGGCUCACCAAGGCGAUGAUACAUAGCCGACCUGAGAGGGUGAUCGGCCACCUUGGGACUGAGACACGGCCCAAACUCCUACGGGAGGCAGCCGUAGGGAAUCUUCGGCAAGGGACGAAAGUCUGACCGAGCAACGCCGCGGGAGUGAAGGAGGUUGUCGGAUCGUAAAACUCUGUUGGUAGAGAAGAACGUUGGUGAGAGUGGAAAGCUCAUCAAGUGACGGUAACUACCCAGAAAGGGACGGCUAACUACGUG
rnacentral:rRNA from 1 species